UAUUGUCAGAAGGCUAAAGGGAAUCCCCUACCGUGGUGCCGAGGGAAGCAAGCCACAGCAAAAGCGCACAGGCGCGGAAAGCUGAAAAAUCACGCGUCGGGUGGAGUUUGGUAGGCUCAAGUCAGCUCGCAGAAGUCAGCACCG
rnacentral:ncRNA from 12 species